rnacentral:rRNA from 1 species
UACGAAGGGGGCUAGCGUUGUUCGGAUUUACUGGGCGUAAAGCGCACGUAGGCGGAUUGGUCAGUUAGGGGUGAAAUCCCAGAGCUCAACUCCGGAACUGCCUUUAAUACUGCCAAUCUAGAGUCCGGAAGAGGUGAGUGGAACUCCUAGUGUAGAGGUGGAAUUCGUAGAUAUUAGGAAGAACACCAGUGGCGAAGGCGGCUCACUGGUCCGGUACUGACGCUGAGGUGCGAAAGCGUGGGGAGCAAACAGG